rnacentral:rRNA from 1 species
GGGUGCGUAACGCGUAUGCAACCAACCCCUUUCCGGGGGACAGCCGGUGGAAACGCCGGGUAAUACCCCAUGGCAACGCAGGGAGACAUCUCCCGGCGUUGAAAGACUUCGGUCGGAGAGGGACGGGCAUGCGUCCCAUUAGCUAGUUGGCGGGGCAACGGCCCACCAAGGCGAUGAUGGGUAGGGGAUCUGAGAGGACGGUCCCCCACACUGGUACUGAGACACGGACCAGACUCCUACGGGAGGCAGCAGUAAGGAAUAUUGGGCAAUGGAGGCAACUCUGACCCAGCCAUGCCGCGUGAGGGAAUAAGGCCCUACGGGUCGUAAACCUCUUUUGCUCGGGGACAAGGACGGGAUCGAGAAUUCCGUUUGCGGGUACCGGGCGAAUAAGCAUCGGCUAACUCCGUGCCAGCAGCCGCGGUAAUACGGAGGAUGCGAGCGUUAUCCGGAUUCAUUGGGUUUAAAGGGUGCGCAGGCGGCCUGUUAAGUCAGCGGUGAAAGUCAGGGGCCCAACCCCGGAAGUGCCGUUGAUACUGACGGGCUUGAAUGCGGUCGAGGCGGGCGGAAUGUGGUGUGUAGCGGUGAAAUGCAUAGAUAUGCCACAGAACGCCGAUAGCGAA